rnacentral:rRNA from 1 species
UACGAAGGGGGCUAGCGUUGCUCGGAAUUACUGGGCGUAAAGGGCUCGUAGGCGGCCAACUAAGUCAGACGUGAAAUCCCUCAGCUUAACUGGGGAACUGCGUCUGAUACUGGAUGGCUUGAGGUUGGGAGAGGGAUGCGGAAUUCCAGGUGUAGCGGUGAAAUGCGUAGAUAUCUGGAGGAACACCGGUGGCGAAGGCGGCAUCCUGGACCAAUUCUGACACUGAGGAGCGAAAGCCAGGGGAGCAAACGGG